GAUGAACGCUAGCUACAGGCUUAACACAUGUAAGUCGAGCGGAGCGGCGAACGGGUGAGUAACGCGUGAGUAACUGCCCCCCUCUCUGGGAUAACAGUUGGAAACGGCUGCUAAUACCGGAUAGUGGGGGAUGACUCGCGUCCUAUCAGCUUGUUGGUGGGGUAGUGGCCUACCAAGGCGACGACGGGUAGCCGGCCUGAGAGGGCGACCGGCCACAUUGGGCUGAGAUACGGCCCAAACUCCUACGGGAGGCAGCAGUGGGGAAUAUUGCACAAUGGGGGAAACCCUGAUGCAGCAACGCGCGUGCGGGAUGACGGCCUUCGGGUUGUAAAGCUCGAAAAACAGGGAGGCAUUAUCUUACCAGAAAGCCACGGCUAACUACGUGCCAGCAGCCGCGGUAAUAC
rnacentral:rRNA from 1 species